rnacentral:rRNA from 1 species
UACGGAGGGUGCAAGCGUUAUCCGGAAUCACUGGGUUUAAAGGGUGCGUAGGCGGCUUAGUAAGUCAGGAGUGAAAGCCUGCGGCUUAACCGUAGAAAUGCUUUUGAUACUGCUGAGCUUGAAUUAGGUUGAGGUUGGCGGAAUGUGACAUGUAGCGGUGAAAUGCAUAGAUAUGUCAUAGAACACCAAUUGCGAAUGCAGCUGACUAGACCUUAAUUGACGAUGAGGCACGAAAGCGUGGGGAGCGAACAGG